rnacentral:rRNA from 1 species
AGUAGAUAAACAUGCUUUAAAAUUCUCAUAAAGUUGAAGGAA